rnacentral:rRNA from 1 species
CCACCGCUAUUGGAAUACGAUUAAGACAUGCGAGUCGAGAGACGUAAGGUCUCGGCGGACCGCUCGUAACACGUGGAUAACAUGCCCUAAGGUGGGUGAUAUCGUACGGAACGUGGGAUAACUACCCAUAGGUCUUCUAUGCUGGAAGCUCGAAGGCCGAAAACUCCGGUGCCUUAGGAUUGGUCGCGGCCUAUCAGGCAGUAGUGGUGUAACGGACCACUAGCCCGUGACGGGUAUGGGCCUUGAGAGAGGGAGCCCAGAGAGGACUCUAAGCAUGAGUCCAGGCCCUACGGGGCGCAGCAGGCGCGAUG